rnacentral:rRNA from 1 species
GACGAACGCUGGCGGCGUGCUUAACACAUGCAAGUCGAACGGAAAGGCCCUGCUUUUGUGGGGUGCUCGAGUGGCGAACGGGUGAGUAACACGUGAGUAACCUGCCCUUGACUUUGGGAUAACUUCAGGCAACUGGGGCUAAUACCGGAUAGGAGCUCCUGCUGCAUGGUGGGGGUUGGACAGUUUCGGCGGUUGGGGAUGGACUCGCGGCUUAUCAGCUUGUUGGUGGGGUAGUGGCUUACCAAGGCUUUGACGGGUAGCCGGCCUGAGAGGGUGACCGGCCACAAUGGGACUGAGAUACGGCGCAGACUGCUACGGGAGGCAGCAGGGGGGAAUAUUGCACAAUGGGCGGAAGCCUGAUGCAGCAACGCCGCGUUCGUGAAGACGGCCUUGGGGGGGUAAACCGCUGUCGCCUGAGACGAAGCGUGAGUGACGGUAACGGGUAAAGAAGCACCGGCUAACUACGUG